rnacentral:rRNA from 1 species
GUGGGGAAUAUUGGACAAUGGGGGGAACCCUGAUCCAGCCAUGCCGCGUGUGUGAAGAAGGCCUUUUGGUUGUAAAGCACUUUAAGCGAGGAGGAGGCUACCGAGAUUAAUACUCUUGGAUAGUGGACGUUACUCGCAGAAUAAGCACCGGCUAACUCUGUGCCAGCAGCCGCGGUAAUACAGAGGGUGCGAGCGUUAAUCGGAUUUACUGGGCGUAAAGCGUGCGUAGGCGGCUUUUUAAGUCGGAUGUGAAAUCCCUGAGCUUAACUUAGGAAUUGCAUUCGAUACUGGAAAGCUAGAGUAUGGGAGAGGAUGGUAGAAUUCCAGGUGUAGCGGUGAAAUGCGUAGAGAUCUGGAGGAAUACCGAUGGCGAAGGCAGCCAUCUGGCCUAAUACUGACGCUGAGGUACGAAAGCAUGGGGAGCAAACAGGAUUAGAUACCCCGGUAGUCC